GACGAACGCUGGCGGCGUGCUUAACACAUGCAAGUCGAACGGAAAGGCCUGCUUUCCCUUGUGGAUUGCGGGUACUCGAGUGGCGAACGGGUGAGUAACACGUGAGUGAUCUGCCCCCAACUUGGGUAUAAGCCUGGGAAACUGGGUCUAAUUCCCGAUAGGACUGCAGGGUGGUGCCUGUGGUGGAAAACGAUUUUCUAGUGGUUGGGGAUGAGCUCGCGGCCUAUCAGCUUGUUGGUGGGGUAAUGGCCUACCAAGGCGGCGACGGGUAGCCGGCCUGAGAGGGUGGACGGCCACAGUGGGACUGAGAUACGGCCCAGACGCCUACGGGAGGCAGCAGUGGGGAAUAUUGGACAAUGGGCGGAAGCCUGAUGCAGCGACGCCGCGUGGGGGAUGACGGCCUUCGGGUUGUAAACUCCUUUCGACCGCGAGGAAGCCACCUGGUUGGAAGGGUGGUGACGGUAGUGGUAGAAGAAGCACCGGCUAACUACGUG
rnacentral:rRNA from 1 species